rnacentral:rRNA from 1 species
GACGAACGCUGGCGGCGUGCUUAACACAUGCAAGUCGAACGGAAAGGCCCUGCUUUUGUGGGGUGCUCGAGUGGCGAACGGGUGAGUAACACGUGAGUAACCUGCCCUUGACUUUGGGAUAACUUCAGGAAACUGGGGCUAAUACCGGAUAGGAGCUCCUGCUGCAUGGUGGGGGUUGGAAAGUGUCGGCGGUUGGGGAUGGACUCGCGGCUUAUCAGCUUGUUGGUGGGGUAGUGGCUUACCAAGGCUUUGACGGGUAGCCGGCCUGAGAGGGUGACCGGCCACAUUGGGACUGCGAUACGGACCAGACUCCUACGGGAGGCAGCAGUGGGGAAUAUUGCACAAUGGGCGGAAGCCUGAUGCAGCAACGCCGCGUGCGGGAUGACGGCCUUCGGGUUGUAAACCGCUUUCGCCUGUGACGAAGCGUGAGUGACGGUAAUGGGUAAAGAAGCACCGGCUAACUACGUG